GCAGCGAUGUCCGAGUGGUUAAGGAGACCGACCAGAAAACAAUAGGGCUCUGUCGUGUAGGUUCGGAUCUUGCUCGCUGCG
rnacentral:tRNA from 1 species